rnacentral:rRNA from 1 species
CCGCGUGUGUGAUGAAGGUCUUCGGAUUGUAAAGCACUUUCGACCGGGACGAAAAUCUGUUGGCUAACAUCCAACGGCCUGACGGUACCGGGAGAAGAAGCACCGGCUAACUCUGUGCCAGCAGCCGCGGUAAUACAGAGGGUGCAAGCGUUGUUCGGAAUUAUUGGGCGUAAAGCGCGUGUAGGCGGCAUUGCAAGUCGGGUGUGAAAGCCCUCAGCUCAACUGAGGAAGUGCGCCCGAAACUGCUUUGCUUGAGUGCCAGAGAGGGUGGCGGAAUUCCCCAAGUAGAGGUGAAAUUCGUAGAUAUGGGGAGGAACACCGGUGGCGAAGGCGGCCACCUGGAUGGUAACUGACGCUGAGACGCGAAAGCGUGGGUAGCAAACAGGAUUAGAUACCCUGGUAGUCCACGCUGUAAACGAUGAGAACUAGGUGUCGUGGGUGUUGACCCCCGCGGUGCCGUCGCUAACGCAUUAAGUUCUCCGCCUGGGAAGUACGGCCGCAAGGACUA